GGAAGCAUUUUGUCUCUUGUUUAAUCUGUUUCUCACCUUUCCAUAGUGAAAGAUAAUAGCAUAACUAUAAAUGUUGGCAUAUGGUCCAGUUUAUUUUAUGGUGUCAAACAUACGUUUAAAUAUUGUAUAUGUUUUAGUUAUUUAUCUGAUAACUUGCAAACACAUAAAGAACUAACUUUCAAUCAAAAGAACACAUUUGAAAAUAUUUCCUUCAUUUCUUCCUUUGUCUUCUCUUCUCCAUCCAACCCCAUUUUUCUUGUCUCAGAUUUUUUCCCCAAACCCUUUCAUAUCAUCUCCUCAGAGUUACUGUGCUAACUGGCAGCCACUGAGAAACAGUAACAAGUAACAUAUCAGUGUAGUCCUACAUCUGUGAUUUCACUUGUCCUCUUAAUGGACAAGUGUUACUCACAUAACCACACUGUCUGUCUUAGGAACUUCACACACAGCUUAAACUCUGACCUGGAAAAAUGCUGCUCUGCACAAUUUCAGUUUUAUAAUAAAACAAUCUUCCACACUGUCCCGUAUGCAUGGAAUGCCCUCCCUGAACUGAUCCAAAAGGCCACUACUUUCUUUUUAUUUAAAUCUCUCCUUGAGAUCUACAUCUGCUGGGAUUUCUAAAUAGCAGCCAUCCACUUAAUAACGGCUAGGUGGUAGGGCAGAUUGGCCUUUUAUAUUUUGCCAUAAUGUAAAUAUAUUUAUGUAUAUACAAGUUUGCUUGUAUUUAGCUGUAUCCUCCUUUUCUCACCCUUUGUAUAUCACUUGCCUUCCUAUAUUGUAAGCUGCUCUUGGGCAGGGACUGUCUCUUUACAUGUUCGUAUAGCUCCUUGCCCAAGAGAGGGCCUGAGUCCUUACUGAGCCUCUGCAUGAUAUUUUAGUAUAAUUAUAAUCAGUGGCAGAAAGCUAAGAUUGCUGAUAGGGAAGAUAAUUUCUAGGUAACACAUUUCUUCUGUAUCUUGUUAGGAUAAUACAGAAUAAAUUAGUUGUGUUUUCUUCCAUUUUGCUUUAAAAAAAAAUCUUUUCUGACCUCCCCUUACAUUGGAACAGUUUUCUGCUGCUAGCAAGAUCAACUAAUGGUACAUUUAUUGCUCAGGGCAAGAUUACUUAGAAACUGUCUCUUCAAAAUAGAAUACACCAAUAGUAGUUUUUUUGACAUAAGAUUUUUAUAGCAAAUAUAGAUAUGUAUAUAUUUAUAGCUGUAUAUGCAUAACAAAAAAUUAUAUUAGCUUUCAUAGGGUAAUUCAAUACAAUUAAUGUUUCCUAGUUGAAGGUGAGAGGAAGGGGACUUUUUUGUGUGUGUGUGCUUAUUUUCUGUUUGGUUGAGAGGAAUGGUAUAGAUUGUUGGUGGUUCUCUCCAGAUAGGGGAUUCUAGUUAGAUACAUAAGUAAUAAAAACUUUGUCAUGCAUCCUCAUAGAAAAAAAUUACCUAGGCAUUAUUCUAGCUUCUACUCAAGUUCUGAUGUCACUGACCAUUGAAACCUCAACAAAUACUAAGUUUGCUGCAUUGACAUUUUUCUGCUCACCACAACUGCCCACCAAAGAGGGACAGCAUUAAAUUUCAAAACACACUUUUUUAAAAGUAAGAAUCCUUUUCUUUUGUUAUUGGCAAGUAAAGAAUUAUUAAAUGUGAGAGACAGCAGUCGUAUCCCAACAAAUCUCUUUGUUGCAACAUCAUGUUAUAAAACUACAGCUAUUGUGUGUGCAAGUGUCCCCAUCAGUCUUAGGGAAGAUAAAAUAAAAAUUUUAUGCAUUAAAUUAAAGUAAGUAAAGAUGUUAAAUUCAAAUAGUGGAUUCAUUUUAAGUUACGGUGUAUAUGUAAAAAAAAUACACUUAAUUGACCAUGUGGAAAGAAAAUCUUCAAAAUACUGUGUUUCAUUUAUUAGUCUCAUGACAAAAAAAAAAAUAAAUAUCCGUUUAAAAAGUCAUCUUUCCAAGCUGCUAAUCAAAUUACUUUGAACUGAGUGAUUUGUUUCUCCCACCAUAAUUUACAGCAUAAUUUUAUUUCAGUAGUUGGACAUAUUAAAUUUAUAUGUAAAAAGUAUUAAGAGAAUCUUGAAUGUAAUUAAAAACAAGUAGGAUGAACUCAUCUGGCUUGUGAAAAGUUGCUUUUAAUUUUUUGUCUUUGAUUUGGUUAUGAUACAUAUUCUACAUUCAAAGGUCUCAUGAUUUUUCUAGCAAGGAAUGGAUUUGAUUUAUCAAGCACCUUUAGAUUUUGUUUUUUCUAGGGCCUUAGCAGAAAACAGCAACGAUUAGCUGUUUUAGUGAAGUAGAGAACUUUAAAAGGUCAAGAGAGAAACUAAAGAAAUGGAGAACACAAAUAUAAUUCCAUUUUUUCUGAGCCUACCAAAGACUGUAAUAAAACAAAGUAUGGAUUAGAUGAGUGGAAAAUAAAUUUGGAUCCCAAAAUACUGGGUUAGUGAUGGCUGGAAAGUUUUGGAUGGUGUCCUCCUUGGGUAUCCUUUUUGUAUCGCGUUCAAAAAGAAAAAUCUACUUAUCCUAUUGGGUUUAAGGUAUAAAUAUCAAACAUAGAUGUAGAAAUCGCUCAGAUUAGAUGCUGGUACAAUCUUGCAGGUAUAUAAUAAUCUGCAGCACAGAGGUCUAUUCUGUAUCUGGCAUCAAGUAAUAGUACAGUAUUUAUUUAGGAAAAAAUCAGUUAAUAGCAUUCAAAAUGAAUAUUAUUGGCUCUGUCAUCCAACAAACAUUCAUACUCCAUCCCAUUCCUGUUGCCCAUUGUUUCAAAGGUGGCAUGGCUUAAUGACAUCUGAAACAAUGAAUUCACAGAGCAAAUACAUGUGUGAAUGCUAUAAUAUAAAGGUUGAAACAAAAAAAGAUACUCUGUGUUUGAUGAAAUCAUGCACAGAAGGCACAGGAUUCAGAAACCAUUUUGUUUCAACAUGGUGAAAUAAUGAUCGAGCUAUAUCUGCAGAAAUAAAAUAGCAACAACACUACUUCUGCAACUCCCUUUAACUUCUGCUACCAACAGUGGUUGUAAAUAGGAAGAAGGUUUUCCAGAGACUCUAUUGAAAGAAAAGAAAAAAAGGCACUGGAGCUCCAGGUUUACUGAAGAGUACCUCUAGAAUGCUCUUAACAGCAAGUGAAAGAGGUUUCCUCACCAUCCAAAUAAGACAACCGUGAGGGAGAAACUGGAAAACAAAUUGAACAGGGGGAUGAACAACUGUCUCCCUCAUCUCACCAAACAAACAAAAAAUAGCCCUUUUUUUUCUUGCCAUUUCCCUUCUGUAAUAGUUCAUUAUUCCAUGUUUAUUAACUUCUUUAAAAAAAAUAAAAUAAAUGUUUUUGCUAUCUUGUGGUGGUUUGCUUUUUCUUUCCUUGGUAUGAAAAGAGAGCACAUGUCUCACGGAAAAUGACUGCAAAAAUAACUACUUUUUUUGUCAUAUUUUUUUUCUUUUUCUUUUUUUCCUAUGAGAGCCCAGUUUUCAAAUGCUUUCUCUUAAACAGGAUAUUCAAAUACCAUUUUCUGUUCUCAGUCCUUAAAAUCCCACCUGGUUUGCAGGAUGUGAAUUUUUUUUUUUUUUAUUUUCUGUUCUUGUUUUUGUUUUGCAUACAGGAUUUCAGUACACACUGACCAUUCCUCUUACAAGGCAGGAAACUCCUUGUAAGGUAGGUUGAAUUUUAAGACGUUGGGCACAUUUUAAAUGCCUCUGCUUACUUGUUUUUGGACCUACUGUUGAAGAGAUGGUGUUUGAAAAUUGGGCCUAUAAGAAUUUUAACAUACCAAAAAUAGCACUUGUUCAUGUCUGCCUCUCUUAGAAUUUUCUUAUAAGGGUCUGAUAUGUUCCUAAUAUGCAAACAUGAUCUAUAUGCACUGCAGUGAAAACACUGAGUCACAACUGAACAUAUAAGCUUUCUGGGACAAAUAACCUAGAUUCUUCUUUCGUGUGAAUAGAUAAAUGCCAAAUGCUCUUGUGAAUCAUGUUUUGAUAUUUAUAGGUAUUAAGGUGAUUGAUUUAUGUGUUUAAUUGAUCUAUUGUUACCAGCAACCAGUUUUUAUGUUCUAAUAGCUUAUUUUUAGAUAUUCUUUCUCUUUCUUGGUCUUCCAUGUAAGGUAUCCCAAACCACAUAAAGUGUAUUUCUCGCCAAUUUUCUUAAAAGGAAACCUUUUUUUAAAUGGUUUGUUUUUACUUUCAUGCUGUUCAGAAAUUGUAGCUUAUUCAGAACGAUGUUGUAAAAGCCCAGAUUACUUUCUCCUUUUCAUACCCACUGAAGUU